GAUGAACGCUGGCGGCGUGCCUAAUACAUGCAAGUCGAGCGAACAGACGAGGAGCUUGCUCCUCUGACGUUAGCGGCGGACGGGUGAGUAACACGUGGAUAACCUACCUAUAAGACUGGGAUAACUUCGGGAAACCGGAGCUAAUACCGGAUAAUAUAUUGAACCGCAUGGUUCAAUAGUGAAAGACGGUUUUGCUGUCACUUAGAGGUGGAUCCGCGCCGCAUUAGCUAGUUGGUAAGGUAACGGCUUACCAAGGCAACGAUGCGUAGCCGACCUGAGAGGGUGAUCGGCCACACUGGAACUGAGACACGGUCCAGACUCCUACGGGAGGCAGCAGUAGGGAAUCUUCCGCAAUGGGCGAAAGCCUGACGGAGCCACGCCGCGUGAGUGAUGAAGGUCUUCGGAUCGUAAAACUCUGUUAUUAGGGAAGAACAAAUGUGUAAGUAACUAUGCACGUCUUGACGGUACCUAAUCAGAAAGCCACGGCUAACUACGUG
rnacentral:rRNA from 1 species